rnacentral:rRNA from 1 species
UUUACCUUUGGGUGGGGAAUAACAGUCGGAAACGACUGCUAAUACCGCAUAAUGCAGCGGCAGCUCAUGCUGACAGUUGUUAAAGCGGGGGAUCGUAAGACCUCGCGCCUAAAGAGAAGCCCGCGGCGGAUUAGCUAGUUGGUGAGGUAAUGGCUCACCAAGGCAUCGAUCCGUAGCCGGCCUGAGAGGGCGGUCGGCCACACUGACACUGAAUAACGGGUCAG